rnacentral:rRNA from 1 species
UACGGAGGGGGCUAGCGUUGUUCGGAAUUACUGGGCGUAAAGCGCACGUAGGCGGCUUUGUAAGUUAGAGGUGAAGCCCGGGGCUCAACUCCGGAAUUGCCUUUAAGAACUGCAUCGCUAGAAUUGUGGGAGAGGUAAGUGGAAUUCCGAGUGUAGAGGUGAAAUUCGUAGAUAUUCGCAAGAACACCAGUGGCGAAAGGCGGCUUACUGGUCCG